GGUGAGUAACACGGUGGGUGAUCUGCCUGCACUUCGGGAUAAGCUUGGGAAACUGGGUCUAAUACCGGAUAGGAACCAUCUUUAGUGUGGUGGUUGGAAAGUUUUUUCGGUGUAGGAUGAGCUCGCGGCCUAUCAGCUUGUUGGUGGGGUAAUGGCCUACCAAGGCGGCGACGGGUAGCCGGCCUGAGAGGGUGUACGGCCACAUUGGGACUGAGAUACGGCCCAG
rnacentral:rRNA from 1 species